UACGAAGGGGGCGAGCGUUGUUCGGAAUUACUGGGCGUAAAGGGCGCGCAGGCUGGCUCUGAAAGUCAGAUGUGAAAGCCCCCGGGCUUAACCUGGGAACUGCAUUUGAUACUCUGGAGCUUGAGUACGGGAGAGGAUAGUGGAAAUUCCCAGUGUAGAGGUGAAAAUUCGUAGAUAUUGGGAAGAACACCGGUGGCGAAGGCGGCUAUCUGGACCGUAACUGACGCUGAGGCGGCGGAAAGCGUGGGG
rnacentral:rRNA from 1 species